CAGCCGCCGCGGUAAAACGAAGGGUGCAAGCGUUACUCGGAAUUACUGGGCGUAAAGCGUGCGUAGGUGGUGGUUUAAGUCCGUUGUGAAAGCCCUGGGCUCAACCUGGGAAUUGCAGUGGAUACUGGGUCACUAGAGUGUGGUAGAGGAUAGUGGAAUUUCCGGUGUAGCAGUGAAAUGCGUAAAGAUCGGAAGGAACAUCUGUGGCGAAGGCGACUAUCUGGGCCAACACUGACACUGAGGCACGAAAGCGUGGGGAGCAAACAGGAUUAGAUACCCGAGUAGUCCCUGUCUCUUAUAA
rnacentral:rRNA from 1 species